rnacentral:tRNA from 1 species
GCUAAAGCUCAGCUGGUAGAGUGCUUGCCUCACAUGCACAAGGUCCUGGGUUCAAUCCCCAGCAUCA